UUAAGUUCAGCGGGUAUUCCUACCUGAUCCGAGGUCAACCUUGUGGAAGUAGAAGGCAGACCGGCCCGAAAGGUCCUUGAAACUCGACGCGUGCUCCUGAAAAGCUCGUUGCACCGAGGGUCCCACGGACGCCGUCACUGUCUUUGAGGCCAGCUGGUCACGAAGGACCGGCGCGGCCCAACACCAAACCCGAGGUUUGA
rnacentral:misc_RNA from 1 species